GGCGAGGUGGCCGAGUGGUUAAGGCGAUGGACUGCUAAUUUAUUGGGCUUUGCCCACGUGGGUUCGAGUCCCACCCUCGUUG
rnacentral:tRNA from 1 species